GGGCGAGUAGCUCAAUUGGGAGAGCGGCUCUUUUGCACGGAGUAGGCAGUGGGUUCAAUCCCCACCUUGUCCA
rnacentral:tRNA from 1 species